rnacentral:rRNA from 1 species
UGGGGAAUAUUGCACAAUGGACGGAAGUCUGAUGCAGCGACGCCGCGUGGGGGAUGAAGGCUUUCGGGUUGUAAACUCCUUUCAGUACAGAAGAAGCUUUAUUGUGACGGUAUGUGCAGAAGAAGCGCCGGCUAACUACGUGCCAGCAGCCGCGGUAAUACGUAGGGCGCGAGCGUUGUCCGGAAUUAUUGGGCGUAAAGAGCUCGUAGGCGGUUUGUCGCGUCUGCUGUUAAAGACCGGGGCUUAACUCCGGGGCUGCAGUGGGUACGGGCAGGCUGGAGUGCGGUAGGGGUAACCGGAAUUCCUGGUGUAGCGGUGGAAUGCGCAGAUAUCAGGAGGAACACCGAUGGCGAAGGCAGGUUACUGGGCCGUUACUGACGCUGAGGAGCGAAAGCAUGGGGAGCAAACAGG